AGAGUUUGAUCCUGGCUCAGAACGAACGCUGGCGGCAGGCUUAACACAUGCAAGUCGAGCGGGUGCAGCAAUGCAUCAGCGGCGGACGGGUGAGUAACGCGUGGGAACAUACCCUUCGGUUCGGAAUAACUCAGGGAAACUUGAGCUAAUACCGGAUACGUCCAGGAGCAAUUCUGGGGAAAGAUUUAUCGCCGAAGGAU
rnacentral:rRNA from 1 species